rnacentral:rRNA from 1 species
GACGAACGCUGGCGGCAUGCCUAAUACAUGCAAGUCGAGCGAACAGAUGAAGUGCUUGCACUUCUGACGUUAGCGGCGAACGGGUGAGUAACACGUAAGGAAUCUACCUAUAAGCGGGGGAUAACAUUCGGAAACGGGUGCUAAUACCGCAUAAUAUCUUCUUCCGCAUGGAAGAAGAUUGAAAGACGGCUCUGCUGUCACUUAUAGAUGACUUUGCGGUGCAUUAGUUAGUUGGUGGGGUAAUGGCCUACCAAGACGAUGAUGCAUAGCCGACCUGAGAGGGGGAUCGGCCACAUUGGGACUGAGACACGGCCCAAACUCCUACGGGAGGCAGCAGUAGGGAAUCUUCGGCAAUGGACGCAAGUCUGACCGAGCAACGCCGCGUGAGUGAAGAAGGUUUUCGGAUCGUAAAACUCUGUUGUAAGAGAAGAACGUUGAUGAGAGUGGAAAGUUCAUCAAGUGACGGUAUCUUACCAGAAAGCCACGGCUAACUACGUGCCAGCCGCCGCCGUAA